CCGCAUGUUCUGUUCUGUGUGUAGAAAAUGUUUCAAAACGUAUGACUAUUUAACUACAGUAAUAGAUGAGGUCAAUCGGCAUGGUGAUAUUCUUCAACUGGUAGAUAUGUUGCGGUGGAGCUUUGAUCCGCUGGUUCUUCACAAUUUUCCAGUUCUGGAUCAGAUUUUGGGGUGAAAAAGUGGGAACUUCUACUCCACGCCGACGCGUUUACAGAAAUUUUACGCUAUUUCGAUAAAUUGAGUGAAGUAUCUUCCUCUGCUGGUGGAGGAAAUGAUGUCGGUGUCGCCUCGUCUUAUCUCAGAUUCUAACCUCACGACGACUUCGUAACUGGGUUCCAUCCUCACUGAAGGUCUGCCGCCGCUGCCUUUGAAUGACUCUUACAAGCGGUGAACAACACUUUCUGCUUCGAUGAACGAGACAGGCUCUAUUAAAGUAACACGUAAUGUAUUGAACUGUUCCGACCCAAGCAGGUCUGCACAUUAUCACAGAGUUC
rnacentral:lncRNA from 1 species